UACAGGGGGGGCAAGCGUUGUUCGGAAUUACUGGGCGUAAAGGGCGCGUAGGCGGCCAUCUAAGUCAGACGUGAAAUCCCCCGGCUUAACCUGGGAACUGCGUCUGAUACUGGAAGGCUUGAGUAUGGGAGAGGGAUGUAGAAUUCCAGGUGUAGCGGUGAAAUGCGUAGAUAUCUGGAGGAAUACCGGUGGCGAAGGCGGCAUCCUGGACCAUUACUGACGCUGAGGCGCGAAAGCUAGGGGAGCAAACGGG
rnacentral:rRNA from 1 species